UACGUAGGGCGCGAGCGUUACUCGGAAUUACUGGGCGUAAAGUGUUCGCAGGCGGCUGAGCAAGUCGAGUGUGAAAGCCCCGGGCUUAACUUGGGAAUUGCGCUCGAAACUACUUUGCUGGAGUGUGGCAGAGGAAGGUGGAAUUCCACGUGUAGCGGUGAAAUGCGUAGAGAUGUGGAGGAACACCAAUGGCGAAGGCAGCCUUCUGGGCCAACACUGACGCUCAUGCGCGAAAGCGUGGGGAGCAAACAGG
rnacentral:rRNA from 1 species